rnacentral:tRNA from 1 species
GAGGAUAUAGCUUAAGUGGUAGAGUACAUGCUUAGCAUGCACGAGGUCCUGGGAUCAAUCCCCAGUACCUCU